rnacentral:tRNA from 2 species
UGCCGGUCUAGCUCAAUUGGUAGAGCAACUGACUUGUAAUCAGUAGGUUGGGGGUUCAAGUCCUCUGGCCGGCAU